GGUAGAGGAAACCUGUGCCCUGUGGUCGUGUGGUGGGGCUGGCUAAGGAAGGAUAACUUUUCAAUGCCGUGGCAAUCAGUAGAAGACUCGGAGAGCAAGGAGCAGGAAUGAGAAAUCAAUUUAAAUAAGCAACAGAGAGACUGCUUUAACUGGAAAAAAAGGACAAAACUUGUUUAUGAAAGUAUGGAGAGCCUGUCCCUCUGGAUACUCUUGGAGAUGGUUGACAGCAACCGUCAAAGAAGGGCUGGGGGUAGAGAGUGACAAGGAUGGUCUGAGGCCCAACUAGGACAAGACCCCUAGAGCGAUGCCUUUCAGGAUUUCUUACAUUCUCUCACAGAGGGAAAUGUCGUCUAUUACCGCGGAGGUAACAGAAACUAACACUGGAUAACUUACAUUAAAAAAGGGAUUUUACUGUUAGGUCAUGGGCAUGCUCCCAGAUGAAAGGAUGAAAAACCAAGCUUGAGAACAAGCACCCAAACAGCCUGUGUUCUGGGUCGCAGCAACGACUGGGUGAAUGAAUUCUAAUGUUAUUGGUAUUUUCUUAUUGGUUAAAACGCAAGUUUCAGAGAGAGAAUCUUCAGUUAGC